AGAGUCCUGAUGUGUUCGUUGUUUAACCUGAAGUUUUGACCUAACAUCUAUCCUUCGGGAGUUCGCGUUUCCAGGCCGCGUAAAUGCCUCUGGCUAGAGGACUUACAGAAACCCGGAACAGGGCACCCACCUGCUGAGAGCGGGUUCAAGACGAAGGCAACCAACACGACGGCACGAUUGGGACUCUU
rfam:Bacillus selenatarsenatis SF-1 DNA, contig: BSSF00107.